GAUGAACGCUGGCGGCGUGCCUAAUACAUGCAAGUCGAGCGAACGGACGAGAAGCUUGCUUCUCUGAUGUUAGCGGCGGACGGGUGAGUAACACGUGGAUAACCUACCUAUAAGACUGGGAUAACUUCGGGAAACCGGAGCUAAUACCGGAUAAUAUUUUGAACCGCAUGGUUCAAAAGUGAAAGACGGUCUUGCUGUCACUUAUAGAUGGAUCCGCGCUGCAUUAGCUAGUUGGUAAGGUAACGGCUUACCAAGGCAACGAUGCAUAGCCGACCUGAGAGGGUGAUCGGCCACACUGGAACUGAGACACGGCACAGACUCCUACGGGAGGCAGCAGUAGGGAAUCUUCCGCAAUGGGCGAAAGCCUGACGGAGCAACGCCGCGUGAGUGAUGAAGGUCUUCGGAUCGUAAAACUCUGUUAUUAGGGAAGAACAUAUGUGUAAGUAACUGUGCACAUCUUGGCGGUACCUAAUCAGAAAGCCACGGCUAACUACGUG
rnacentral:rRNA from 1 species